GACGAACGCUGGCGGCGUGCUUAACACAUGCAAGUCGAACGAUGAAGCCGGAGCUUGCUCUGGUGAAUUAGUGGCGAACGGGUGAGUAACACGUGAGUAACCUGCCCUUGACUCUGGGAUAAGUGCUAGAAAUGGUAGCUAAUACCGGAUACGACCCUCGGAGGCAUCUCCAGGGGGUGGAAAGAUUUUCGGUCAAGGAUGGAUUCGCGGCCUAUCAGCUAGUUGGGGAGGUAACGGCUCACCAAGGCGACGGCGGGUAGCCGGCCUGAGAGGGUGACCGGCCACACUGGGACUGGGACACGGCCCAGACUCCUACGGGAGGCAGCAGUGGGGAAUAUUGCACAAUGGGCGCAAGCCUGAUGCAGCAACGCCGCGUGAGGGAUGACGGCCUUCGGGUUGUAAACCUCUUUUAGUAGGGAAGAAGCGAAAGUGACGGUACCUGCAGAAAAAGCACCGGCUAACUACGUGCCAGCCGCCGCCGUAA
rnacentral:rRNA from 1 species